UACGUAGGGUGCGAGCGUUGUCCGGAAUUAUUGGGCGUAAAGAGCUUGUAGGCGGUUUGUCGCGUCUGCUGUGAAAAUCCGGGGCUCAACCCCGGACUUGCAGUGGGUACGGGCAGACUAGAGUGUGGCAGGGGAGACUGGAAUUCCUGGUGUAGCGGUGGAAUGCGCAGAUAUCAGGAGGAACACCGAUGGCGAAGGCAGGUCUCUGGGCCACUACUGACGCUGAGAAGCGAAAGCAUGGGGAGCGAACAGG
rnacentral:rRNA from 1 species